AUUUAAAUAGUUUAAUCUGAGAAUAACAUUUUGUGGUAAUGUGGGUGAUCAUUUGGUUCUUUAAAUC
rnacentral:tRNA from 1 species